GCCGUGAUCACCAAGAACAGUAAAUAUAAAAGUCUACAAAGUGGGCGAGCAUAUUGUCAUAUUGACAUAGUACCAGACUAUGCCUAUGGCCAAUUAAUCUAAGAGCUUUUACCGCCGAAAUCGACGCGUUUAUUUCAAAAACACUGCUGAAACACACAGUAGAGUAGUAGCGCUAAAUUUUUACGCAGUUAUACAAAAAAAUUUGGAGUUUAUCCGCACUUUUUGGUCAAAAUCUUCGUAGAAUGUGUUCGCACGCAUACUAUUUUAUAUUGACAAUGUUUGUUUCCCCUGCUCUUGACGUCACAAAUUUAUUCUCACAUAAAUUAGCAUACCAGGUUUUUUUCAAGAUGGCGGACGACUGUCGAAAGUUUUAUGAUAUUUCUG